AAAGUAUUAGAAAUAGAAUGGACCAAGCAUGUCUUUGAUAUAGUAUAUAGUUUAAUUUCACUACUCUAAGGUCAGCCUGGGGCAUUUAGAUAUAAUCCAAGAGGACCAGUGUGUAUAUUAAGCCGUUAUCCACCUAUCUACAGCAAAAGAAACACAGACAUGUACAAUAACCACUGAAAAAUAUUAAACAAAGGACCAAAAUUCAUUACCCACAUAAAUCUCUUAUUUUAAUAUUUAGAAAUGACAGAAAAAUAUCCAUCUUCAUAUUUCCAGCUUUAAUCAAAGUUCUAAAUAAAAAAAUUAUGAUGAUUGAAGAAAAUACACGAGAAGCAUGUAAGAACCAUGGUAUCGCUUCUUCCCACCCAUAAGCAGAGACCAAGGCAUGAGCAUCUAGCCACAGUAAAAGAAAUAAAGCAAUUAUUUCAUUACUUGUAAGAAUUAAUAUAUUCAGUGAAAAUAUUCCAUUAAUUGCAAGUUCAAAUUAGAAGAUAAAAGUAGAACAAUUGUAGAGCCAAACUAUUGAUAAUAUUUGGCUCAAUAAUUGGGGUAAGUCUGCAUAGUAAAUUCAAGCAUGGAACUUUAUUAUAAUAAAUUCAAAACUAAGAUAAAGUAACCACUACACCAGAAAAUUGAGUAUAAAUCCCAAUGAGAUUGGUUAUAAACUUAAGCUUACCGAGACCAUUUAUUUGUUAAUACAUCAUAAGAAUGUACAUCAGCAGUAGCCCCAGCCAGCCCUGUAAUGAAAUACAUCCUCAAACACUAUAGAUACAUAAUGAGUUAAAGUUUAGUUCUAACUAUUGACCGAAAAAUCCGUUAGGCGCUAUUCUUAUUUGCUUUACAAUAAGUAAAGCAUUCCUUAAAAUUAUAAACCUCCAAAAGGCAUGCAUCACUCUUUUAAACAACCUAAAUCAUCUUUCCUAAGCAAGAGUCUCAUUCUCAUUUCCAAGAAAUGACAAGAAGUACUUACAGCAUUUUCUUUUAUCUUCUUGGGAUGAUAAUUAAAAGGGAAACUUCACUUGAUUUCAACUAAAAAAAUUAGUUAAAGCCACUCUUCAACACAGAUAAAUGGAGUCAAUACGAAGAGAAAGAAAAGAAUUACAUCACUUUUUACAAGUUUCAGACUUGAAAUAAACACUCUCUCAACAACCUCAAACAAUUUGAGCUAGAAU
rnacentral:lncRNA from 1 species